GCGCCGGUAGUCCAAUGGUUAAGACUCUGGCCUUCCAAGCCAGUGAUACGGGUUCGAUCCCCGUCCGGCGCA
rnacentral:tRNA from 1 species